GACGUAGGGCGCGAGCGUUGUCCGGAUUUAUUGGGCGUAAAGAGCUCGUAGGCGGCUUGUCGCGUCGACUGUGAAAUCCCGCGGCUCAACUGCGGGUCUGCAGUCGAUACGGGCAGGCUAGAGUUCGGUAGGGGAGACUGGAAUUCCUGGUGUAGCGGUGAAAUGCGCAGAUAUCAGGAGGAACACCGGUGGCGAAGGCGGGUCUCUGGGCCGUAACUGACGCUGAGGCGCGACAGCGUGGGGAGCAAACAGG
rnacentral:rRNA from 1 species